AUGGUCACUUCCGGAAGUCAGGGCGUGGGCUGGAAGCUGAACGAGGGGCGGUGCGGACUUCUUUGGGCGGGGGGCGGUUGUUGGGGCCGUCGAGGCUGCGGCGACUCUGCGUCCCCGUCUCCAUUCGGAGACAGGGCCGCAUCCCCGGGUCACUCCUGCAGGCCUCGCGGGCGGCUGGACAUGAACCACGGCUUCGUGCACAAUAUCCGACGGAACCCGAUCGCCCGGGACGACUGCGACAAGAAGGUGAAGCAGGCGGCCAAGGAGAAGGUGAGGACGCAGCAGACGCCCGCGCCUAGGUGGCCCCGGGAGCCAGACCUGCCGGUGUACCUAACGCGACCCUGAGUUGUCUCCGCCCACCCACGCAGCCCAGACGGUCAAGAGUCAGGUGAAAGCAGCAGUAGUGGAGGCCCCGAGCUGGAGCCUUCUGGCUAUCAGCUCUUCCACUUGGAAUACCAGGCAGACAGUGGAGAGGUCACAUCAGUUAUGGUGUAUCAGGUUGAGGAGAUGUCGGCACGCAAGCCUCUGGAUCCACCCAUGCGAGAAGCCCUCCAGUUCCAUAUCCAGGAGGAGAUUGCAAUGCCCCAGAGCUGACACUGACAUUCACUGCACAUGGAAGAAUUCUGCCCAGGGAGCUCAUACUUAGAUUGGGGGUAUCAGGACCAGUUUGUCUGAUCUUGAGACCCCCACAGCUGCUGCAUCCAUAGGGUGUUGCAGGACUACACCUGGCCUGCCUUGCAGUCAUUCUUUCUUAUAUGUUGACCCAUUUGCCCAGCCUGAUAUUCUGGAAUUUUUUUUGAGAAUUUUCUGUGGUUAACGUGGUGUUCUAAAAGCAGAGACUCCAGGGAGAACCAGGAUUUAUGAAGCCUCAUGCCCACGUGGUGCUUUCUCACCAAGGUCAUGUGCCUGUCUGGCUGCUGCUGUUCCACUCAGCUGCAUGAGCCAUGUUUGCUAUUUUAUGGUUCUUCUGUGCUUUUGCUCAUUUCUGCCCAUGUAUUCAUAGACCUUUUUUUCAGCCCUUUUUCUUUGUUCCUUUCCCUCAUCUUUUUGCCUCAGGUAGAAUCCAUCAGUUCUCCUCCCCCUUCAACAUGACUGUGUACCUCCAGCUGCUCAGGACUUUGGAGGAGGUGGUGGUGGUGUUGGUGGGGGAGGCGGGGUUCUGGGAUCUACCCUUCUAACAAACUCUCCAGGUAAUUCUGAUACCAAUAAAGUGGGAGACCUCCAAAAAAAAAAAAAAAAAAAGACAGUAGCUGAUGUUCAUGGCAAGCGCCUCUCAUCACUGUCCACUUCAAGGAAACAUUCCAGCGUUUUCUAUGUUGGCUGCCACCUCGUCUGAAGUCAGCACAUUCCAUGAAGGAAGGAGUCCUGCUUUGUUGCAUCUUCUAUCCUAGGGUUUAAUGUUGGUGAAUGAGUAACUCUAACAUUUGUACAAGGCUCCCUACAGAUCGAACUCCUUGUUCUACUCUUUUCCUCCCUUCUCACUACUGCACUUGACUAGUCUUUAAAAAUGAAAAAGAAAAAAAGAAAUGUACAUAGGAAGAAAGGCACAAAAAUAAAUGCUCACUUAUUUUUGCAUUUGUAUAUGUAAAUAUAUACAUAUGUAUAUUUAUAUUAAUUAUUGGGACAGUUUGGGAAAACAAAAAUUAUCUGGGCAUGGCGGCAUGCACCUGUAAUCCCCACUACUUGGGAGGCUGAGACAGGAGAAUUGCUUGAACCCAGGAGGCAGAGGUUGCAGUGAACCGAGAUAGAG